rnacentral:rRNA from 1 species
UACGGAGGGUGCAAGCGUUGUUCGGAUUGACUGGGCGUAAAGGGCGUGUAGGCGGUCGGCCAAGUCUGAUGUGAAAGCCCGAGGCUCAGCCUCGGAAGUGCGUCGGAAACUAGUCGGCUGGAGCGCGAUAGAGGAGGGUGGAAUUCCUGGUGUAGCGGUGAAAUGCGUAGAUAUCAGGAGGAACACCGGCGGCGAAGGCGGCCCUCUGGAUCGUUGCUGACGCUGAUACGCGAAAGCGUGGGGAGCAAACAGG